rnacentral:lncRNA from 1 species
CACCCACUAACCCGCUGCUGCAAAUACGUUCAGUCAAGCAUGGACAUUCAGGGAGUUCAAGGCACUCAGAGCUGAGGGUCCGUGAUGGUUUCAUAGCCCAAAGCAAUGCCAAGGCCACACGGAACUACCACAAGUUUAUUGCACAAAUGUUCCUUAUCUUCAAAAACAUUAAUAUUACAGUCAAACUGGAGUUCUCCAAGAUGCUGAAAUUAUUCCAAUAUAUCACUUCUGAUCUGUCCUUUCCUGACAAAGCCAAUAUUCCUGUCAGCUCCCCCCAGUCCAUUUAUUAUGGAAAUAACUUUUUCCCUUGGACGGGACUCACACCUUGAUCAGAGAUCAGAGCAGUGAGAACAGGAUACCUCAGAACAUGUCAACACAGAAAACUGGAGCUUGUGCCAGCUCCCUCAGAGGACCAUUUCACAGUUUUCUGCUCUUUACACUAGUAGCUGGCUGCUGUUCUCCUUUUGCUUAAAGGAAAAAAAAAAAAAAGACUCCUUUACUCCUUUCUUUGGGAAUAGGAACAUGGUGUUUGGUGGAAAAGUGAUGUGACUGUGAGCUCAAGUCUUGCUGGCCAUGGAGAGGCCAGUUAUCUAUAAAUGCUGGCCUCACAGGAGUUUAUGGGUGUUGACAGCUCAUGUAAAAAGUAAAAAUUUCAGGUACUGCCAUGUGGGUGAAUGGAUCAUCUCACCUAUUACUACUAUUACUAUUAGUAUUACUAUUAGUAUUACUAUUAGCAUUACUAUUACUAUUACUAUUAUUAUUUUAAAGCAGUGGAUGAGAUGAAUGAGCAGCACUGCGCCCAUUCCCAAACCUCAGCAUCAGACCCAAGUGCUCUGGAGUGCAGCCAGGGCAGGCUUAACCAUGGCUCAUGCACUGAGGAUGAGGGGAGGCUUGUGACCAGGACCAGAAAAGCUGUGGUGGGGACCCAGGGCACCCUGUACACCCCUGCUUUGCCUGGUCUGGCUUUACAGCAAGGCCAAGGGAUGCAGCAGGUACCCUGCAGGGGUACAGCCUUGGCCAGGUGUGGGGGUCCCUUCCAGCUGGUGGCAGUACCCCUGCUUCUAGCUGCCGCUGGGCACAGGAAGGAACACCCCUCUUUUGUUUCCUCUGGUGUGCGUCCAGUAAUUAUUACCUUCUCACGCAGUUGGGGCCACUCAUUGCUUUCCAGAAUCCCAUGCACUGCCAAAGAUGGAGCCGCCACAGUACUGACAUGGGCACAAGCAGGAGGAAUCAGCCACAAUACCCACGGGCAAGAUUGCAAAACAACUUCUACCCUUAUUCUUUGUGCCCUGUCCAGCCCAGGGUACAGAAACCAUGAUCAAGGGGAGAAGGAAUCUGCCCUAUUUGACACACGAGUACUUCAAGGGAAAGCAAAAGAUGAAUUAGCACUGCAAGAUGUAAAGACACAGAAAAGAUCACCCCAAAGUGAGAAGAAAUAA